GCUACGAGUGGUAUUGGUCAGUGAUCUGAACGUCAGAGCAGGGCCGGUCGUCGCCGCGACUAUUUUUCUUCCCUUCCUACUUCUACCACUUUUACUACUACUACUACUACUACUAUUACUACUACUAUUAUUAUUAUUAUUAUUAUUAUUACUAUUAUUAUUACUAUUACUAUUAUUACUAUUUCUCUUAGUUUUCGUCCUCAUCUUUCGUCCUACGUCUUCGUUAUUUCAUUAUUUUUCGUUUUUAUCGUUUCAUUUUAUUUUUUCUUCUACCUCCCUUUUUUCCUCCUCCUCCUUAUCCUUCUCGCCCCCACCUUUUCCUUCUCUCUUCUUUUCUUUCCAAGAAAUCAAGAUCGCGCUCUUAGCCACUCUUGUCCAGUUCGUUUUGCGUUACAUUAAGAUUUUCUUUUCCUCCUUUUUUUUCCUUUUUCUUUUUUGAUUCUCUCUCUUACAUACACACACACAUACACACACUAUCUAUCGUCGAGGUAAUUUUUAUUUCCUUUAUUUUUUCUUUUUUUGUUUUUUCUCUCUCUCUCUCUCUUUCUCUUUCUCGCACAAAAUCUACAUCUCCUCUCACAUCGGUCACCUUGGUCACAUCGGGGAUAUAUCGUAUAUACUUAUAUAUAUAUAUACACAUAUAUAUACAUUCAUAUAUAUAUAUAUAUGUGUAUAUACGAAGGGACAAAAAGAACGGAUAUGUAUUAAAGUGGUGUUACCAGUGAAGAUUGGAAAAAAAGGAAAGAAGAAAAAAGAAGAGCAGGGAGAAGGAGGAGGAAGAAGAAGAAGAAGAAGAAAAGAAAAGAAAGGAAAAAAAGAAAACCGCUCCUUCGUUGGCAACGCUGUUUUUCUACGAAGAGAAAAUUUUUUUUUCUGUUCUUUUUUUUUUUUUUUCCACAAUACAAAUCUCAAAUCCCAACGAGCAACGGACACGACCCGGUGUGAGAGAAAGCGGCAGAACCAGUUCACAAGGCGGAAAGAUAGCGGCGACCUUAUCGACUCGAACGAGAAAAUACAAAACAAGAUUAAGAGACGACGUGAAUAAAUUAACGGAGGAUAAGGGUGACGAAAAAAAAACAAAAAAAAAAGAAAAAAUAAGAGGUGAAACUGACGAGAUGAUGAUGCAUUCGAAUUAAACGGGAGCAUGGAGCUUAAAGAAGUGAAGUUGGAUUUGCAGGAGCAGCAGCAGAAGCAAGAACAAGAACAACAAGAACAACAAGAACAACAAGAACAACAACAAGAACAGAAACAGAAGCAAGAAGAGUAGCGCUGAGAAAGGGACCUGGAGGAGGAGGUCCUGGAGGAAAGAACAGGGAUUAACCUCUCGAGGAGGACGAGAGGAAGACGUCAUAGUCCGUCUCGCUUGGACGGCUAGGACGAUGGCUGCAACUGAUGGUCAAAUUGUCGUGGCGGCCGCACGUUGGGCCGAGGAAGCGACAUAUUUGCGCGAAUUCGUCACUAAAUAUCGUCUACCGGCUGUAAUAAAGAUUACAAAGGGUCAAUAUGGUGGUCUUGGUGUACCAACCCUUCCAGCCCCGAGUCUUCAAAGUACGGCAUUGUUAUUGUCAGCAGGCCGUAGGCGCAAAAUUGUGGCACAGGCUGUUAAAAUCAAGGAAGGACGUAGAGUUGUUGGGGUUGGGCCAAGAUUAGCUAUCCCGGACUCCUACGCCGGAUAUUUUGAGAUUUUGAGCGAGGAAGGUCGAGCGGUCCGUGGAAUCGAGUCUGUGAACGAACUCUCCCGAAGAUGCCCGGAGGAGGGAGCCUUGGUACGUGAAACGGUACGUGGUAUAGCUUGCAGAGUGGAUGACGAAUCUGGAAUCGUCGUGCCCGAAGGAACGAGAACUCUGGCAGCUGGUGAGACAAUUGUGACGGCCGGUGAAGUGGCAUUACCAGGUCGCGGACGUUUCUUACGUUGCGUCGACUGUCGAGGAGAGAGCAUACUUUUGAGCAUGGAACAACGUGGACGCUUCAGCGCACUCGCCAGAGAGGAUAACAUUAGCGGCGUUCACACGGCUAAGGCAUUGCUGAGCAAACGGCUACCACUAACGGUUAGAUUGGUCCACGGACAGCCACCGAGAGGCUUGAAAUCAUCGUCCCAGUUCGUGCCGGAGCUAAGGCUCCUUUCGACCUUCGAGGAGGAACACGUGUUCGCAUUGCCCUUACAGAGAGAGGGAGCAGCGGUGGCGUUGCCAUUGGCGGCACCUUUGAAGUUGGUCAAGGCGAGAAACGAGGAGGCACUUAGAUUGAUGCAAGAAUUCACGAGGUUGAUCGAACGAGCCUCACGGCUCGUAGCCGACGUUGCCGAUCGUGCACACGUUCUAGACGGUCGCUUGGGCGAGAGUAAGCCCUCGAGACAGACCAGAAGUGCAUCGGGAUUUCUAAGGCGAUCUUCUGCCAACUCGGAAAAUGCUCCUCUUGGACAUCAUAGGAACAACAAUAGCAGUCAUCAUCAUCAUCAUCAUCAUUAUCACAGUAGCGGUCAUCAGACAUCCUCCGGUCA